rnacentral:ncRNA from 1 species
UGCGUAUCUUAGAGGGUAUGACGUCCCACACUUCGGUGUUUCCUUACCUCAAAUGUUGCAUAAGAACCUGCCCUUGGGAGGGGAACAACAGUAGGAAACGGCUGCUAAUACCCCAUAGGCUGAGGAGGAAAAGGAGGAAUCUGCCCGAGGAGGAGCUCGCGUCUGAUUGGCUAGUUGGUGAGGCAAUAGCUUACCAAGACGAUCAUCAGUAGCUGAUCCAAAAGGAUGAUCAGUCACACUGGGACUGAGACAGAGCCCAGACUCCUACAGGAGACAACAGUGGGGAAUUUUCCUGGGCAAAAGCCUGCUGGAGCAA